AGUGAACGCUGGCGGUAGGCCUAACACAUGCAAGUCGAACGGCAGCACAGUAAGAGCUAGCUCUUACGGGUGGCGAGUGGCGGACGGGUGAGGAAUACAUCGGAAUCUACUUUUUCGUGGGGGAUAACGUAGGGAAACUUACGCUAAUACCGCAUACGACCUACGGGUGAAAGCAGGGGAUCUUCGGACCUUGCGCGAUUGAAUGAGCCGAUGUCGGAUUAGCUAGUUGGCGGGGUAAAGGCCCACCAAGGCGACGAUCCGUAGCUGGUCUGAGAGGAUGAUCAGCCACACUGGAACUGAGACACGGUCCAGACUCCUACGGGAGGCAGCAGUGGGGAAUAUUGGACAAUGGGCGCAAGCCUGAUCCAGCCAUACCGCGUGGGUGAAGAAGGCCUUCGGGUUGUAAAGCCCUUCUGUUGGGAAAGAAAAGCAGCAGGUUAAUACCCCGCUGUUCUGACGGUACCCAAAGAAUAAGCACCGGCUAACUUCGUG
rnacentral:rRNA from 1 species